GACGAACGCUGGCGGCAGGCUUAACACAUGCAAGUCGAGCGCACCGCAAGGGGAGUUGCAGACGUGUGAGUAACGCGUGGGGACGUACCCUUAUGUUCGGGAUAUCCCUGUGAAACUGGAAUUAAUACGGAAUGUGGGCUCUGAUGGAAAGUCUUAUCGUGUAAGGAUCGGAGCGCUAUGGAUUGGCUGGUUGGUAGGGUAAAGUCGUAGCAAGGCGACGAUCCAUAGCUGUUAUGAGAGGAUGAUCCUCCACACUGGAAAUGAGACACGGCCCAUAAUCCUACGCAAGGGAGCAGUGGGGAAUAUAGGAAAAUGGGGGCAAGCCUGAUCCAGCCAUGCCGGGUAAGUGAUGAAGGCCGUAGGGUAGUAAAGCUCUUUCAACGGAGAAGAUAAUGACGGUAUCCGGAGAAGAAGCCCCGGCUAACUUCGUG
rnacentral:rRNA from 1 species